rnacentral:rRNA from 2 species
ACGGGGUGCAGCAGGCGCGAAACCUCUGCAAUGUGCGAAAGCACGACAAGGUUAAUCCGAGUGUCUCCCGCUAAGGGAGUCUUUUGUCAGUUCUAGAACCACUGGUGAAUAAGGGGUGGGCAAGUUCUGGUGUCAGCCGCCGCGGUAAAACCAGCACCUCGAGUGGUCAGGGGGUUUAUUGGGCCUAAAGCAUCCGUAGCCGGUUGCAUAAGUUUUCGGUUAAAUCUAUGCGCUUAACGUAUAGGCCGCCGAAAAUACUGUGCAGCUAGGGAGUGGGAGAGGUACACGGUACUCGAUAGGAAGGGGUAAAAUCCUUUGAUCUAUUGAUGACCACCUGUGGCGAAGGCGGUGUACCAGAACACGUUCGACGGUGAGGGAUGAAAGCUGGGGGAGCAAACCGGAUUAGAUACCCGGGUAGUCCCAGCUGUAAACGAUGCAGACUCGGUGAUGCAUUGGCUUGUGGCCAAUGCAGUGCCGCAGGGAAGCCGUUAAGUCUGCCGCCUGGGAAGUACGUACGCAAGUAUGAAACUUAAAGGAAUUGGCGGGGGAGCAC